GCUUAUUUUUCUCCCAAUUGAUGGAGGUCUUUCAGCGGGUUCUGUAACGCAACGCCAACCCGAGUGGACACAAUUUGAAAGAUCGUAGCAGACACUUUCAAUUUCCAUCCAAAAAUGUCAAAAUCUGCAUUCAAUAUCAAUCACAGCAAAUUGAUAUCAUCAUCCUUCUGCCUAUUUCUACUCUUCCUACUUCAAUUUUCUUCUCCAGUUUCUUCCAUCAGAAAAGAUAUAAGUCUUCAAGACACAAAUACCUGUAGAACUACCGUUCAAGGGCGAUACUUAAUUGCCGAUGACAUGGGCCAAGUCUGCGACGCACUCUCUAUCGAUCCACAGUCUCGCUGUUGCCGCGGAAAACUGGAUCGCUAUUCAUGUCACGGUUGUAAUCUCGUCUCACAAUGCUGCAAUUCCUACGAGUUUUGUGUCUCUUGCUGUUUGAAUCCGUCGAGGACACAAAAAAAUCUAGCACUAAAUGUGAAAAUAUCUAAGCCGAUAACAGCAGGGACGUAUUCUAGUGUUUUCGAUUUUUGUACGGGAAGAUGUCGGCACAAUUCGGAAAGUGUGGUUCAUGAAAACGCAUAUUUAAGUGAAUUUCAUCAUUGUUUUUCUAUACCGUUUAAUUCUUCAUCUAGUGAUUCUAAUGUACAAACUGAAGUGAGAUUGGCUGGUAUAAAUAUUGUGAUAGGAACAAGAGGUGAAUCGUGUGAUACGGUAUGCAAAUCGAGUGGUCAAUCAUGUGUUCCUAAUAAGUUUCAGUUGCUUAAUCAGUGCGAAAUGAUGCAUAAGUAUUUGAGCUGUAAAGGUGGUUGUUUGUCAAGUGUUGGAGCUGAUCAACCUGCUGAAGUAGUUGAUGAUGCUCCCAGAGAUCUCAACCCUGGAGCCUGCUUGUACACUUCGCAAGUAAACAUGCUAUCUUGUGACGGUUCGCAUCAGCAUACCAAGAGGCUAUGCCCCUGCGCAUAGUGUGUGGUGAAUUUGCCCCCUUCUCCAUGAUGCCCUCGGUUAAGGUUCUGAAGCUACAAUUCAAAUGAUGCUCUGCAAGAUGUUCGGUGUUUGUUGGCUCUUUAAAGUUUUGACAUCUUUAUGGACAAGCCAGCUUUCGUGCACUUCGACUAAUUCCAUGGGAUACCUGCCAAUCUCCCACCAGCAACAAGUACCAGAGUAGGGGAUGAAGCACUUGUGGCUUUUCAAGAAGGUUGCUCUCUGCAUCAUUUGGAUAUCAUCUAAUUGCGGGAUCUUUCAGUGUGUGUUUUUUGGAUCCAGAUCUAGCAAGAAUGUGCCAGUAGAUUGACUUUACUGUACGAGGUUACGUUCUUGUUCUUGUAUUUUACUCAUUCUACUCAAGGUGUGGAGUGUGGUGUGGCGUGGUAUUGCUCUUGUCCGUUCCAAUGUGUAAGAGGAAAAAAGGGUCAAGACAGGCACGUCUUUUUUUUUUUAAAGGGCCGAAAUCCAUGGUUGUCUUAUGUGUCUUUCCUCCAUCCCACAUGGAUUAAGUGCAAGGAGAAAGGCUGCACGUAUAAUCUAAGGUGCUUCCUGUGGUGGCAUAAAAAGUAAACAUACAAAGAAUCUGAGGUGAGUCAACUUCCUAUUAUGUAUACAAAAAAGUAGGUAUGGCCUUUGUAUAUACAAUGGAAGUUUUUGACGAUCCAAACCCUCUUGCGGUACCCUAGCUCCGCCUGCCUGAUAGGAGAGUAGUUGCCCCAUCCUUUCCGGAACCUCCUUCUAGCGCAUACUGGGCUUUCCAACCAAUCUCGCUGGCUAUCGAGGACGAAAAUCUGAUCAAUCCAUUUUUACCCAGGAUUGUAAGCCGAAGCAUCUACAACUGGUACUAUUGAAUUAGUCCAAGGACUUGUACUCCACCACAAUAUCAUAUGUUUGCAUAGACAAAGGGCCCUCCACAAAGCACCUACAAAUGGUGCUCGAGAGAGAGAGACUGAGAGAGAGCAAACCGGGACAUCAGCAGUUUCUAAUCCUCCAACAUGCCGGUCUCUUAUCCUGAAAGGGCUGUUCACUUACAACUUACUUGCCCUAAAAUUCUAGUGAAAAAUAAUAUGACAGAUUAACGUUGAUGGACUAUCUCCAUUUUUGUGCAUACGAUGAAUUAAACGCAAUAAGUUUAACAUCAGCAUGUCCACCAAAACUUCCUAUCUGCGGAUUAGAUUAUAUCCUAAGCCGGCCGUCUGGGUGGUGCCAAUAAGUAAAUUAUAUUAGAUGUCAUCUCAGUAUAAUGCUUUCGAGAAACCACGGUGGAUUUACACCGACACAAUCCGAUACGGUUACGCUAAGCUGGGGGAUAAAAUUGGCUCUCCUAGCUUCUAUCCCAAGAAGAAAAACAAUUAUUUAGUCUUUUAACACUAGUUUACCACAAGCAUUUCAACUAGUAGUCAAUAAAGUGGAUGCAAACCCUGUAGAUCAGGUUCAUAUUCCCUCAGAAACAAAAAACAGUAGAAAAUUUAUUCACAUAUGCUCAGGUAUAUCCGUAAGCAAAAGGUACAGGUAUACUACCAUCAACGUCAGAUUGUGGGCGAAAUUCUUGAAAAAAUUUAUGACUGUGAAAUUAGUUGGUGCAAAAGAUGGUACAUUUUAGAAGUAAUUACAUCCCAUCUCAUUUUUUUUAAUUAGUUUAGUCUCUCUUCCGUUUAAUAUACAUUCUUUAAAAGGCAUAUACAUAACAA